rnacentral:rRNA from 1 species
AUUGAACGCUGGCGGCAGGCUUAACACAUGCAAGUCGAGCGGGGGAAGGUAGCUUGCUACCGGACCUAGCGGCGGACGGGUGAGUAAUGCUUAGGAAUCUGCCUAUUAGUGGGGGACAACAUCUCGAAAGGGAUGCUAAUACCGCAUACGUCCUACGGGAGAAAGCAGGGGAUCUUCGGACCUUGCGCUAAUAGAUGAGCCUAAGUCGGAUUAGCUAGUUGGUGGGGUAAAGGCCUACCAAGGCGACGAUCUGUAGCGGGUCUGAGAGGAUGAUCCGCCACACUGGGACUGAGACACGGCCCAGACUCCUACGGGAGGCAGCAGUGGGGAAUAUUGGACAAUGGGGGGAACCCUGAUCCAGCCAUGCCGCGUGUGUGAAGAAGGCCUUAUGGUUGUAAAGCACUUUAAGCGAGGAGG